CCUACGGGUGGCUGCAGUCGAGAAUCAUUCACAAUGGGGGAAACCCUGAUGGUGCGACGCCGCGUGGGGGAAUGAAGGUCUUCGGAUUGUAAACCCCUGCCAUAUGGGAGCAAAUUAAAAAGCUAGUACCACAAGCGGAAGCGACGGCUAACUCUGUGCCAGCAGCAGCGGUAAUACAGAGGUCUCAAGCGUUGUUCGGAAUCACUGGGCGUAAGGCGUGCGUAGGCGGUUUCGUAAGUCGUGUGUGAAAGGCGCGGGCUCAACCCGCGGACUGCACAUGAAACUGCGGGACUAGAGUGAUGGAGGGGGAACCGGAAUUCUCGGUGUAGCAGUGAAAUGCGUAGAUAUCGAGAGGAACACUAGUGGCGAAGGCGGGUUCCUGGACAGUAACUGACGCUGAGGCACGAAGGCCAGGGGAGCGAAAGGGAUUAGAUACCCGAGUAGUC
rnacentral:rRNA from 1 species